CUUCAUGAUUCAGACCUUGGUGAGUGGCGGACGGGUGAGUAACACGUGGGUAACCUGCCCAGAAGUGGGGGAUAACAUUUGGAAACAAGUGCUAAUACCGCAUAACAACUUAGAUCACAUGAUCUUUGUUUAAAAGAUGGUUUUGCUAUCUCUUCUGGAUGGACCCGCGGCGUAUUAGCUAGUUGGUGAGGUAAUAGCUCACCAAGGCGAUGAUACGUAGCCCGACCCUGAGAGGGUAAUCGGCCACAUUGGGACUGAGACACGGCCCAAACUCC
rnacentral:rRNA from 1 species